UACGUAGGGAGCGAGCGUUGUCCGGAUUCACUGGGCGUAAAGAGCUCGUAGGCGGCUUGGCAAGUCGGGUGUGAAAACUCCAGGCUCAACCUGGAGACGCCACCCGAUACUGCCAUGGCUAGAGUCCGGUAGGGGACCACGGAAUUCCUGGUGUAGCGGUGAAAUGCGCAGAUAUCAGGAGGAACACCGGUGGCGAAGGCGGUGGUCUGGGCCGGCACUGACGCUGAGGAGCGAAAGCGUGGGGAGCGAACAGG
rnacentral:rRNA from 1 species